CCCUUAGAUGUUCUGGGCCGCACGCGUGCUACACUGAGUGGAUCAGCGGGUCAGGUUGCGCGAAAGUGUUUCCUAAUCUUUAAAUCCGCUCGUGAUGGGGAUUGACGGUUGCAAUUUUCCGUCAUGAACGAGGAAUACCUUGUAAGCGCGGGUCAUCAUCCCGCGCUGAAUACGUCCCUGCCCUUUGUACACACCGCCCGUCGCUCCUACCGAUUGAGUGGUCCGGUGAGGCUUUGGGAUCUGGGCGGAAAGAGCGUUUCGCUGUUUCUGCCCGGAAAACUCAGUCGAACCUUAUCAUUUAGAGGAAGGAGAAGUCGUGACA
rnacentral:rRNA from 1 species